rnacentral:rRNA from 1 species
UACGUAGGGUGCAAGCGUUAAUCGGAAUUACUGGGCGUAAAGCGUGCGCAGGCGGUGAUGUAAGACAGGUGUGAAAUCCCCGGGCUUAACCUGGGAACUGCAUUUGUGACUGCAUAGCUAGAGUACGGUAGAGGGGGAUGGAAUUCCGCGUGUAGCAGUGAAAUGCGCAGAUAUCGGGAGGAACACCAAUGGCGAAGGCAGCUUGCUGGGACGGUACUGACGCUGAGGCGCGAAAGCGUGGGGAGCAAACAGG